rnacentral:rRNA from 1 species
CGGAGGGUGCGAGCGUUGUUCGGAAUCACUGGGCGUAAAGCGCGUGUAGGCGGCCCACUAAGUCUGAUGUGAAAGCCCGGGGCUCACCCCCGGAAGUGCAUUGGAAACUGGUGGACUCGAGUCCCGGAGAGGAGAGUGGAAUUCCUGGUGUAGCGGUGAAAUGCGUAGAUAUCAGGAGGAACACCGGUGGCGAAGGCGGCUCUCUGGACGGUGACUGACGCUGAGACGCGAAAGCGUGGGGAGCAAACAGGAUUAGAUACCCUGGUAGUCCACGCCGUAAACGAUGAGCACUAGGUGUCGCGGGUAUUGACCCCUGCGGUGCCGACGCUAACGCAUUAAGUGCUCCGCCUGGGGAAUACGGCCGCAAGGUUA